UAGGCGGAUUUCAANUUUUUGUGAAUUUNAUGGNUCAACCAUNAACUGCNUGAGAAACUGAUAUUUUAGAGUGAGGGAGAGGCAGAUGGAAUUGGUGGUGUAGGGGUAAAAUCCGUAGAGAUCACCAGGAAUACCCAUUGCGAAGGCGAUUUGCUGGAACUUAACUGACGCUAAUGCGUGAAAGCGUGGGAGCAAACAGGAUUAGAUACCCUGGUAGUCCACGCCCUAAACGAUGUAUACUAGUUGUUGCUGUGCUAGUCAUGGCAGUAAUGCACCUAACGGAUUAAGUAUACCGCCUGGGGAGUACGGUCGCAAGAUUAAAACUCAAAGGAAUAGACGGGGACCCGCACAAGCGGU
rnacentral:rRNA from 1 species